CAUCUGUUAAUAAUCCUACAGAGACAAGCAGAGCCCUGGAAGAAGGUUACUGCAACCUCAUAUGCGUUGCUGGCCAAAGGAUUCCCUGGGAAGUUCAACAGCUUAUUCUGGGAAGGAGCACAGAUUCCAGCCAGGGGACAUCAGUCAAGCCCCACCUGGAUUUUCCAAUUCCAACUGCCAUGAUGUAGGCUGACUUGAAACCUGGGUCUGGAGCAGACGUGUGGCAAUCUGGGUCAGUCUCUGCAGCAUGAGUAAAUCAGACAUGGGCCUCCUUAUUCCAGCAGUGAAGAACCCAGGGUCACGAUUCCCAGCAUCUCCUCUCCAGGCCCUUGCUCACCCAGUGCUGAGGUUUGGAAUGGAUGAGCUACCUGCAGCAGUCGGGUCCUAUCUCUUCAACCUUUUCACACUCCUGGUAAAGCUGUCAAACUUUAACCUGGACCACAGUUCCAAGGACUCCUGAACACCGUCUUGGAGCUAAGUCUAUGAAUGCUUCGCAUCAACGCUCAUAAGGUGGGAAAGCCACCUGGAAGGACAGGCAGGAGUUAACAUGACUUCUAGAUCACUGUCACCAGCAAAUGCAGCCUGGGGAUAGAAGAGUUACGUGCCGCACUGAUCAUGAUCUUUCCUGCCUGGUUCCUCACUGCCCACAGGAUAAAGUCCAAGUUCUGGAGGUUGGCAUUCAAGGCACUCCUGGGCCAGCCUCCUUCUACCUCUCCUUCUUUCCCCAUCACUACUCCUUCUGUUCUUCUUCUUAGGCUGAUCUCAUGCUCUCAUCGUCUGGAACUGCACACAACUGUCAGGACUCAUCAUGUGUCUCAGCCUCUGUAUCAGUAUUUUGAUUCUCAAUUUGAGAUAUCUUCUUCCCUAAGGCUUUGUUUCCUCCGUUGUGCCCCUUUUCUGCCCACUACCUCUAUGAUAUCAAGUCUCUUACCAUUAUUGCCAUUAUUAGUUUUUACAUCUGUGUUGCCUAUUACAUUGAAUGUUAUUCAGGGAUAAGGUCUGUUUUGUUCCAUCUGUCUGCUGCCAGCACCCCAUAUAGAGCCUGCCAGGCAGAAAGUACUCAUCAGAUAUUGGUAGUACUGUAGAAUGACUUUGCAAGAAUUUAGUAAAUGAAUAUACAGGUGAAUAGAAUAUUUCCUAUCCAGGACUGGUUUAGAGUCCAUUUUUUAAGAGUCUACAAAGGCUUGGCUUCAAGUUCCAACUGCAUGGUAUAGACAAAUUACUUGAUCUCACUACAUGCCAGUUUUUAAAAAUGCAAAUGGAAGAAGAUAAUCCUGAUAUAUUUCAGAGCUUAAAUUCUUCUAAGUGAAUCCUUCACUCCAAAACUCAUCCUUUUUCCUCAUUUAUCAAAUAUUGCCUGUCUCUUCCUACUAGAAUAUAAGUCCAUGAAGGCAUGGAUUUCUGCCUGGUUUUCACUGCUGUAUCCCCAGAGCCUAGACCAUGCUGGUUCAAUGUCAAGCACUCAAUAACAGUAUGAAUCACAUAAUAGGAGUGUUGUGAUGACUGAGUAACAUAAUGUAUAUGAAGGUCACAGCACUGAGCCUACCACAUGCUAAGCACUCAAUAACUACCAAUAUUAUAAAAUAAAGAAAAGAUAAAGAAGCAACAUUACAGCAGGCUGAUGUGUGACUCAGAACAUACAAUUAGGAUAUCAUGAAUGUUUGAAUCAUAAUUUAUGUUGGAAUUGAAAAGGAUGCUUGAAAUAAUCUGGUCUGACUUUCUGAGGCCCAAAAAGGAGAAGUGCUUUUCUCAAAGUCACAGAGCUAGCCAGUGUCAGAACCUAGACAAUAUUUUCCCCAUAUUUCUAGUGAUUCUCUAAAAUAUACUAUCAGAUUAUUAUUAUUGUUUUUUGUGAGAUACUUCCUUUCUGAAAGUAUCCUUAUGUACAGGAAUGGCUCUCCAUCUAAUCCUUUCAACACACACACACACACACACACACACACACACAGAGUUAGGUAUUCAUCUAAUUAGUCAGUGGUGUAUGAAAAUAAUACUGUAUUUUACUGUGUCUGGCAGUACAGGGUUGUAUGAUUGAAAAACUAAUGUUGCGCAGCCCGGGUGGCUCAGCGGUUUAGCGCCACCUUCGGCCCAGGGCGUGAUCCUGGAGACCCGGGAUCAAGGCCCACAUCAGGCUCUCGGCGUGGAGCCUGCUUCUCUCUCUGCCUGUGUCUCU